rnacentral:lncRNA from 1 species
GGAGGAGACUGGGCUUGGUUCUGAUUUAACUCAUGAGAAAUACCAGGAAGUUCUGAGGAAGAUGAAAGAGGAAAAGGAGACGCUGCUUCUUGAAAAACAAAUAUCCAAAGCCCAGGAUGACUCCUCUCAAACAGUGAAACCGGGAUCAAUUUUGGCAGACACCACCCAAAGAAACAUGGAGAGGACCACCAUUAAGAAACAGGAGAGAAGGUGUUGGUACAAGUAUUUCCAGUAUCUCACCUUCAUGGUCUUAGUCUUUAUUAGGUUGCUGGCUUAUGUGAUUUUCCACCUGCAGUACAUAAACCCAGAUCUUCUCGUGGAUGUCCUGCCCCUGGUGCUGAGCAGGGGCACCUUGGAGAGUCUGAGGAAGGUCUCACAUCCCUUCCUCACUCUAGCAGUGGAAGAAGCACUACCACACUAGUCUGGGGUGACCUGGGGGCAUCACCCCACACCUGAGUGGAGGUGACCGUGGCUGUGGCCCCAUGUUGGGGAUGGCCAGGAAGGAUGUGGAAGCCUUUGACUCAGAGCCGCUACUUGACAUCUGAGUUUUUCAUUUCAUUCUUUCCCUGCUUUCCCUCUGGAAUGUCUCUCUUUCAAAUAAAGAAUAUGUUUGACG